rnacentral:rRNA from 1 species
AGACCCGACUGCUAUCCGGGUGAGACUAAGCCAUGCAAGUUUAAUGGGAUACCUAAAGUUCCCAUAGCAUACUGCUCAGUAACACGUGAUCAACUUACCCUACGAAGGAAUACAACCUCGGGAAACUGAGGAUAAUGUUCCAUAAUUGAGAAUGCCUGGAAUGGUUUUUCAAUGAAAGAGCAAGUCAAAUGGGACUUGUGUCGUCGUAGGAUAGGAUUGCGCCCGAUUAUGGUUGUUGGUGAGGUAAUGGCUCACCAAGCCUAUUAUCGGUAAGGGCCGUGAGAGCGGAAGCCCUGAGAUGGGUACUGAGACAACGACCCAGGUCUUACGAGACGCAGCAGGCGCGGAAACUUCACAAUUCACGAAAGUGUGAUGAGGUUACCCGGAGUGCCACAAAGUG